UACGAAGGGUGCAAGCGUUGUCCGGAUUUACUGGGCGUAAAGGGCGUGCAGGCGGUCUGUUAAGUGCAGGGUGAAAGCUCCCGGCUCAACUGGGAGAGGUCCUUGCAUACUGGCGGACUUGAGGGGGGUAGGAGGGUAGUGGAAUUCCCGGUGUAGCGGUGAAAUGCGUAGAGAUCGGGAGGAACACCAGUGGCGAAGGGCGGCUACCUGGACCAGCACUGACACUGAGGCACGAAAGCGUGGGGAGCAAACAGG
rnacentral:rRNA from 1 species